AGUGAACGCUGGCGGUAGGCCUAACACAUGCAAGUCGAACGGCAGCACAGUAAGAGCUUGCUCUUACGGGUGGCGAGUGGCGGACGGGUGAGGAAUACAUCGGAAUCUACUUUUUCGUGGGGGAUAACGUAGGGAAACUUACGCUAAUACCGCAUACGACCUACGGGUGAAAGCAGGGGAUCUUCGGACCUUGCGCGAUUGAAUGAGCCGAUGUCGGAUUAGCUAGUUGGCGGGGUAAAGGCCCACCAAGUCGACGAUCCGUAGCUGGUCUGAGAGGAUGAUCAGCCACACUGGAACUGAGACACGGUCCAGACUCCUACGGGAGGCAGCAGUGGGGAAUAUUGGACAAUGGGCGCAAGCCUGAUCCAGCCAUACCGCGUGGGUGAAGAAGGCCUUCGGGUUGUAAAGCCCUUUUGUUGGGAAAGAAAAGCAGCAGGUUAAUACCCCGCUGUUCUGACGGUACCCAAAGAAUAAGCACCGGCUAACUUCAUG
rnacentral:rRNA from 1 species